AGGUCACUGACAUUAGAUACCCGCGUAGUCCUAGCUGUAAACGAUGCGGACUUGGUGUUGGGGUGGCUUUGAGCUGUCCCAGUGCCGAAGGGAAGCUGUUAAGUCCGCCGCCUGGGAAGUACGGUCGCAAGACUGAAACUUAAAGGAAUUGGCGGGGAGCACCACAACGCGUGGAGCCUGCGGUUUAAUUGGAUUCAACGCCGGACAUCUCACCAGAGGCGACAGCUGUAUGAUAGCCAGGUUGAUGACCUUGCUUGACAAGCUG
rnacentral:rRNA from 1 species